ensembl:lncRNA
ACACACACACACACACACACACACACACACACACACAUGCACACACAGUGUAACCCCUGCUCAGCUUUGUGUAUGUAAACAGUGGUUGCCCACGGGGGGAAUGACAGACAACGAGGCGUGCGGACGCACAUAUAUACAGUAGAGUCACAUUCUCCCACAUUCAACCACACACACAGAAUGACAUGUACAUGCCACACACACACAGAAUGACAUGUACAUGCCACACACACACAAACUGAGAUGUACAUGUCACACACACACACACACACACAGACUGACAUGUACAUGCCACACACACACAGACUGACAUACUGACAUGUACAUGCCACACACACACACACACACAGACUGACAUGUACAUGCCACACACACGCACAGACUGACAUGUACAUGCCACACACACACAAACUGAGAUGUACAUGCCACACACACACACACAGACUGACAUGUACAUGCCACACGCACACACAAACUGACAUGUACAUGCCACACACGCACAGACUGACAUGUACAUGCCAGACGCAGAGACUUCAAAGCGUCACUCGUCGCAUCCUCUCCUCAGUGUCUUCGUCUUCUCCGGUCUGGUAACGAUUUUUGCCGUCAAUAGCAACAAUGGAGGAGAAUGUGGUCGGUGAUUGACACCUCAGGUGAUUGACACCUCGCGACGCUGUCCACGUGCUUUUGUUGCGAGGUGACGAUUGUCUCUCGCAUCUCACGGCCGUUACUAAUCCACGAGGGCAGCUCACCUGCGUGCAGCUCACCUGCGCUCACACACCGCAGGACGAGUUCUUGUCUUAACAGGAAAGUAAUUAGAAAAUAAAAGAGUCCGAGCCAUCUGGUUGAAGACGUUACAUCAGUCGUGACAGCUGAUGACAGUUUAACACUGAUGAGCACAGAAAAUUAUUCUUGUUUUCUGUAAUCUGAGGUGAUUAUUUCCCAAUCCCGCCCCUACACACACACACACACACACACACACACACACACACACACACACACACACACCACAGCUCCAGAUACAUUUCUUAAUUGGCUUUAGAUGGAUUAACCAAUUAGCAAGAAAAAACCGUCCCUACGAUUUAUCCGCCUUGGAUUAGCAUGAAAUUAGCAUUUAGCUUGAUUAGCAGUUAGCAGGGAAUCAGCUGUAUCAAUGACUCAUCGACGAGGGAUUAGCAAGAAUUUAGCAUUUAGCUUGAUUAAAAAUGAACAAAGCAUCAGAUGUGAACAUGACUCAUACACUGGGGAUUAGCAUGCAUUUAGCCUUUAGCCCAAUUAAAAACAUUAGCAAAGCAUCAGUUGAUGCACAACACAGACGAGGCUGCUAAACUGUAUAACUAUCACUAAAAACUAUUUAAUUAUGAAAUUAAAAGUAUGAUUAUUUUUCAGCAUCACACCAAAUGUAAACCAAAUAAAAUAAUGCAAUUAAGGUUCAAUAGGACAUUUGAUUUCUAUCAUUAUGUUUGACACCCACAUGUUUGAGAGGAAAAUAACAAUAUUGGUCACAGGCCGAUCGUAGCAGAAAUGCUAGACAGCGCUAACCCUGCAGACACUUAGUCACUCACAUCUUCUUCAAAACACUUCUCCUUUCUGCUUUUUUUCUCUGCAGUUUGUUGAGGACAGAGAGUGUGAGAGAAGAAAAAGACAAAAAUACAAACUGCGGUUAUUUCAGGUUGUCCGCGUGUGAAUCACGUCACCAGAAAAAAAAAGUUCCUUUUUUCUUCUCACGCAAAAAGAAAAACAAGCGUCCUUCCUCCCACGAGCAGAGAGGAGCCGCAACCCGACGGCGUUUGUGCAAGCAGGCGCGCGCCGUCGUUGGCACGUCCGUGCCGUGUCCUCGCUCACUUUCAACACGCCGUUAGCCAACGUGCAGCCGGCCGCAAUCCAACACUUUUCACUUUUGCACAAUGCUUGCUGAUCACUUCCCUUCGUGUGGAGCGAUUUCACCGACAACUGUGAGAGAAACCUCGACGGUUUGCAAACUGUUCUGAAACAAGGGCGUAACCCCCGCAUCCUUUGCGGGGGACAGGAGGGGGUCGGUGUGUCCCCCAAUAAUGAGAAAAUAUCAAUCUGUCCCCCCCCAAUAUACAGCAGAAAGUGUUUCCUUCCUUUUGCGAAGCGUAUGUUGAGCACAACGCUCAGCGGGCCGUAGUGGUAGCGCCCCCCGCCCCCCCGUCAGAAGUCGCCUUCAUUUAGUCGAGGACGCGGAGCCGGACUCACGUCUCUCGUUACAUACGAUUUCCAUCUUCGUGGUUAAUAAACAGAUCGUCGCGGAGGAAGUGAAACCUGCGAUCAAGUCACACAAAUUUCUGGGGUGGCUCCUUCCAGGGGCCCGCCGCGACCAUCCUCAAGGCCCCCGCGGGGCCCCUGACCCACUGGUUGGGAACCAUGCGCCUGCAUGACUGUUUUUUCAGGAAGAGAAGUCUGUAAAAUUACAGAAAUAUCUUAAACUUCUGGAAAAGCCCCUGAAAGUGACGCGCUGGACUUGUUUUUGUUUUUACUGAACUGUGGAAACGUUUAGUAACUUAUGAUCCUCCUUCAAACUCUCAAACCAGAUGUAUGAUUGUUGGCAGAGUGGAACAUUUGAGUGAAGUGUAUUUUGACGGAUAUCCGACUGGAGUCUGGUGCCUUUUAAGAGUAUUAUUUGUAGGUUUUGUAAUCCUAAUAAAUCGUCUCUUUGAAUCGCUUUAACACGUUUCCCACAGCGCACCAAUGGACAGAUUGAGUUUAAAGGCCUCAUCAGUUUUGA